AACGUAGGUGGCGAGCGUUAUCCGGUAUUUACUGGGCGUAAAGGGUGUGCAGGCGGGUCAUUAAGUGGUGUAUGAAUCGCCCGGCUCAACCGGGCGAGGUUAUGCCAGACUGGUGGUCUAGAGAGCGAGAGAGGGACGUGGAAUUCCGGGUGUAGCGGUGAAAUGCGCAGAUAUCAGGAAGAACACCAAUGGCGAAGGCAGUUCUCUGGGACGGUACUGACGCUGAGACGCGAAAGCGUGGGGAGCGAACAGG
rnacentral:rRNA from 1 species